GACGAACGCUGGCGGCGUGCCUAAUACAUGCAAGUAGAACGCACAGUUUAUACCGUAGCUUGCUACACCAUAGACUGUGAGUUGCGAACGGGUGAGUAACGCGUAGGUAACCUGCCUGGUAGCGGGGGAUAACUAUUGGAAACGAUAGCUAAUACCGCAUAAUAUUAAUUAUUGCAUGAUAAUUAAUUGAAAGGUGCAAUUGCACCACUACCAGAUGGACCUGCGUUGUAUUAGCUAGUAGGUGAGGUAACGGCUCACCUAGGCGACGAUACAUAGCCGACCUGAGAGGGUGAUCGGCCACACUGGGACUGAGACACGGCCCAGACUCCUACGGGAGGCAGCAGUAGGGAAUAUUCGGCAAUGGACGAAAGUCUGACCGAGCAACGCCGCGUGAGUGAAGAAGGUUUUCGGAUCGUAAAGCUCUGUUGUAAGAGAAGAACGGGUGUGAGAGUGGAAAGUUCAAACUGUGACGGUAUCUUACCAGAAAGGGACGGCUAACUACGUG
rnacentral:rRNA from 1 species